GUUGAACUCUGUGAGUUGCAUACACACAACACAAAGAAGUUACUGAGAAUUCUUCUUUCUAGCAUAAUAUGAAGAAAUCCCGUUUCCAACGAAGGCCUCAAAGAGGUCUGAAUAUCCAAUUGCAGAUUUUACAAACAGAGUGUUUCCUAACUGCUCUAUGAAAAGGAAGGUUAAACUCUGUGAGUUGAACGCACACAUCACAAAGCAGUUUCUGAGAAUCAUUCUGUCUAGUUUUUAUACGAAGAUAUUUCCUUUUCUACCACUGACCUCAAAGCGGCUGAAAUCUCCACUUACAAAUUCCACAAAAAGAGUGUCUCAAAUCUGCUCUGUGUAAAGAACCGUUCAACUCUGUGAGUUGAAUACACACAACACAAGGAAGUUACUGAGAAUUCUUCUGUCUAGCAUAAUAUAAAGAAAUCCCGUUUCCAACGAAGGCCUCAAAGAGGUCUGAAUAUCCACUUGUAGACUUUACAAACAGAGUGUUUCCUAACUGCUCUAUGAAAAGAAA
rnacentral:lncRNA from 1 species